rnacentral:rRNA from 9 species
GUUGCGGACAGUGUCUGGUGGGUAGUUUGACUGGGGCGGUCUCCUCCUAAAGAGUAACGGAGGAGCACGAAGGUUGGCUAAUCCUGGUCGGACAUCAGGAGGUUAGUGCAAUGGCAUAAGCCAGCUUGACUGCGAGCGUGACGGCGCGAGCAGGUGCGAAAGCAGGUCAUAGUGAUCCGGUGGUUCUGAAUGGAAGGGCCAUCGCUCAACGGAUAAAAGGUACUCCGGGGAUAACAGGCUGAUACCGCCCAAGAGUUCAUAUCGACGGCGGUGUUUGGCACCUCGAUGUCGGCUCAUCACAUCCUGGGGCUGAAGUAGGUCCCAAGGGUAUGGCUGUUCGCCAUUUAAAGUGGUACGCGAGCUGGGUUUAGAACGUCGUGAGACAGUUCGGUCCCUAUCUGCCGUGGGCGCUGGAGAACUGAGGGGGGCUGCUCCUAGUACGAGAGGACCGGAGUGGACGCAUCACUGGUGUUCGGGUUGUCAUGCCAAUGGCACUGCCCGGUAGCUAAAUGCGGAAGAGAUAAGUGCUGAAAGCAUCUAAGCACGAAACUUGCCCCGA